ACUUGUUAUUAUCUGUCUUUCUGAUUAUAGUCAUCCUGGUGGUUGUGAAGUGGUAUCUCCUGGUUGGGUUUACAUUU